AAAUAUUAUUAUAAUCCUGUAUUUUUCUUUCUCCAUUUACAGUUUCAUCAUACACAAAGGCACGUUCAGGUUCGUUUAAAGCUCUUGAACAAAGUGAAAGGAAAAUUUCUGUGCGAAGCAACUCAGCCAGUAUGCAUACCCAGUAAACUCCUCUAAAACCUAAUAAUCCUACAACUACCCCAACAGUUGGGAGUUAGAAGUGACCCUGCUAAACGGAAUGGAACUUUGCUAAUGAAAAGCCUUUGAAAAUGGGAAUCCCGUCUGCUCCUAAAUACAGGUGGAAAAUACAGGCUCCUGGUGGCAUUUCCUCCAAUCUCAAUGGAAUUAGAAAGGAACUCUGUAUCUUCAUACAUCUCUGUUGACUACAAGACUAGGUCAACAGGGGGACAAGGCAGUCAAAGGCAUCACUGCAGCAAGCAAGAUUUAAACCUCCAUCAUGUCAUUGAUCCACCCCCAAAUGCCCUCUCCUGCGGGUUCCUCACGGCAAGGUUGGCCCAACAGGGUUCGUGGUCUGCCAGCUGUGCACCUACUGCAGAGACGAAAAGUACCCUGCAGAGCUGGCAUGCCCUGUGUGACUCCAGAGCUCAAGAAAGGUGAGGGAGAAGGACUCACAGCAACUGGGAAGUUCCCACGGAUGAGACAGAGUAUCUGGAGUGAAGAAAAGGACUAAAAGGACUUGGAAAAAACGACUAUGAGAUAAGAGAAGGAAAAGAAAAGCUGAAUUUGCACUUUGGAAGAAAAGGGAUGAUAACAAAAGAAGUAGGCAAGUGACAGCCUCUAAUUCCUAGACUGCUCCAAACGUACAG
rnacentral:lncRNA from 1 species